GUGCCAGCAGCCGCGGUAAUACCGGCAGCCCAAGUGAUGGCCGAUCUUAUUGGGCCUAAAGCGUCCGUAGCUGGCCACGCAAGUCCAUCGGGAAAUCCACCUGCCCAACAGGUGGGCGCCCGGUAGAAACUGCGUGGCUUGGGACCGGAAGGCGCGACGGGUACGUCCGGGGUAGGAGUGAAAUCCCGUAAUCCUGGACGGACCGCCGAUGGCGAAAGCACCUCGAGAGGACUGAUCCGACAGUGAGGGACGAAAGCUGGGGUCUCGAACAGGAUUAGAAACCCCAGUAGUCC
rnacentral:rRNA from 1 species